rnacentral:rRNA from 1 species
AUUGAACGCUGGCGGCAGGCCUAACACAUGCAAGUCGAGCGAGCGGCGGACGGGUGAGUAAUGUAUGGGGACUGCCCGUUAGCGGGGGAUAACUACUGGAAACGGUAGCUAAUACCGCAUACCAUCGGAUUACCUAUAUGGGAUUAGCUAGUAGGUGAGGUAAUGGCUCACUUAGGCGACUAUCCCUAGCUGGUCUGAGAGGAUGAUCAGCCACACUGGGACUGAGACACGGCCCAGACUCCUACGGUGGCAGCAGUGGGGAAUAUUGCGCAAUGGGCGCAAGCCUGAUGCAGCCAUGCCGCGUGAAUGAAGAAGGCGCUAGGGUUGUAAAGUACUUUCAGUCGAGAGGCGUUACCGACAGAAGAAGCAACGGCUAACUCCGUGCCAGCAGGCGCGGUAAUUC